UCCACUGAGGACAACAACCACAUCCAUAACCCUGCUCUCUAUAUAAGGAGAGAUCAGGGAUGGUCUCAGCCUACCAAUCUCUCUCUACUACAAUGCCCUCAGUGACACCGCCCUGUCAUGUCACAGGAUGAGGCUGAGAUAAGCAGCCUGUGCCUGGGGCAGAUUACUGGAGGGGGCUGCCUGGGGCUGGAGCUCCCAGCAGGAUAGCCUCAGACCCGCCAUGCCGACCCAGCAGGAGGAAGCCAUCAGCGGUCAGUGACAGCUAGUCUCAACCUCUGGCCCCACGGAAUGGCUAAACAGGAUGUGGAGGCAAUUUGGAUUUCGACCGCACAUGCAAAACGAGUUACUCCGUUAAUAAGGAAUAAGCAGCUGCAGUGCGUACUGGACUCCGCUUCCUGGUGUGACAUAAGCUGCUGGGAGCCUCCUGUGUCUGCUGUUACAUAACAUCUACAGUUACAUCCCUGCAAGUCCAAGGCCCUGUCCCAAUAGCUUGAAGCUAUUCAACUCAGCCUGAGACUACCCCAUCUACGUCAUUGUUGUUCAAUAAGAACAGAAUGUUCCUUGUGUGAGAUAAAACAUGUGCCUUCUGUAUCUGAAAUCUUCUUCAAUAAUCAAUAAACACAUGGCAACUUCAUUA